UUUGUUACCUCAAACCAAUCGGACUUCGGUCUGACAUCAAGUGAUAUUGAACAAUUUAGCUGAUCGCACGGUCUAAGAACCGGCGACAUAUCCUUCAAAUGUCUGCCUUAUCAACUUUCGACGGUAGAUUAUGCGCCUACCAUGGUUGUAACGGGUAACGGAGAAUCAGGGUUUGAUUCCGGAGAGGGAGCCUGAGAAACGGCUACCACAUCCAAGGAAGGCAGCAGGCACGCAAAUUACCCACUCCCGGCACGGGGAGGUAGUGACGAAAAAUAACAAGCUGGUCUCAAUGAGUUCCAGCAUUGUAAUGGGAACAAUUUAAAUCUUUUAUCGAGGAUCUAUUGGAGGGCAAGUCUGGUGCCAGCAGCCGCGGUAAUUCCAGCUCCAAUAGCGUAUAUUAAAGUUGUUGCGGUUAAAAAGCUCGUAGUUGGAUCUAGGAUUAGGGCUACGGUCGUUCAGCUUGGACGUACUGUAUGCCCGACUCCUUUUCUCUAGUAUUCGAUUGUUGCUCUUAAAUGAGUGACUUUAGUUGCUGGAACUUUUACCUUGAAAAAAUUGAAGUGCUCAAAGCAGGUU
rnacentral:rRNA from 1 species